UUGGAGGGCAAGUCUGGUGCCAGCAGCCGCGGUAAUUCCAGCUCCAAUAGCGUAUAUUAAAGUUGUUGCAGUUAAAAAGCUCGUAGUUGAAUUUCGGAAUCCAUCCGUCGGUCGGGCCUCACGGUCCGCACUGGUGUGAUGGAUUUCUACCUUCUGAAUAACCAGCAUGUCAUUAAUUUGGUGCGUUGGGGAAGCAGGACUGUUACCUUGAAAAAAUUAGAGUGCUUAAAGCAGGCUAGUGCCUGAAUACAUUAGCAUGGAAUAAUGAAAUAGGACGGCAUGGUUCUAUUUUGUUGGUUUCUAGGAUCACCGUAAUGAUUAAUAGGGAUAGUUGGGGGCAUUAGUAUUCAAUUGUCAGAGGUGAAAUCCUUGGAUUUAUUGAAGACUAACUUCUGCGAAAGCAUUUGCCAAGGAUGUUUUCAUUAAUCAAGAACGAAAGUUAGGGGAUCGAAGACGAUCAGAUACCGUCGUAGUCUUAACCAUAAACUAUGCCGACUAGGGAUCGGACGAUGUUAAAUUUUAUUGACUCGUUCGGCGCCUUACGGGAAAC
rnacentral:rRNA from 1 species